rnacentral:rRNA from 1 species
UAAAUAGACCGGCCGACUUUGGUUAGCCGCUGUCUUCUUAGAGGGACUAUUAGCGUUUAGCUAAUGGAAGUUUGAGGCAAUAACAGGUCUGUGAUGCCCUUAGAUGUUCUGGGCCGCACGCGCGCUACACUGACGGAGCCAACGAGUUUAUCACCUUGUCCGGAAGGACUG